GACUCCCUGAGUUGAAGAGACAGAACUGAGAGUCAGAGGAGAACAAGGUGGCUAGAGUUCUUAGAAUGGAGCACAAGAAAAGAGGGAACUUCAUAGAGAGAGAACUUCAGAGGUCUACAGAAAGCCCGUCUCAAGCAUAUGGCAGAGUAUUGAUCACCACAUACCUGUGACAAAACAACCCAAGUCAAAGGCCAGAUCCAUGAUUUCCGUCUAGUCAAAGCUAUGGUUUUUCCAGUAGUCAUGUACGGAUGUGAGAGUUGGACCAUAAAGAAAGCUGAGCACUGAAGAACUGAUGCUUUUGAACUGUUUUAGAGAAGACUCUUGAGAAUUCCUCGGACUCAAAGCAGAUUAAACCAGUCAAUCCUAAAGGAAAUCAGUCCUGAAUAUUCAUUGGAAGGACUGAUGCUGAAGCUGAAACUCCAAUACUUUGGCCACCUGAUGCUAAGAACUGACUCAUUGGAAAAGACCCUGAUGCUGAGAAAGACUGAAGGUGGGAAGAGAAGGGGAUGACAGAGGAAGAGAUGGUUGGAUGGCAUCACCGACUCAAUGGCCAUGAGUUUGAGUCAGUUCUGGGAGCUGGUGAUGGACAGGGAGGCCUGGCGUGCUGCAGUCCAAAGAGUUGGGCAUGAGGCCUCUGCAUGUUUAUUGCCGUUAAUACUUGAAACGUUCAAAGCACAAAGGAAACUGGCCAUUCAGCAGAAUCCUGUAAUGAUUUGAAAUUGGAAGACCCUGGUCUGUGUUUGCUUAUUGUCUGCCUACUAUGUGUCAGACACUGAGGUUAUGAAAUUCAAUGGAGAAUGCAAUGGAUGCAUGGUCAUAAACCAUGGAUGGAGGCAGCAUCCACCAAAGUCAGCUCCUCCUACUGGCAAGAAACUCAGCAGAACCUGCACGUGCACUUUGAAGAAGAAACCUUGAUCAGUCCCCCAGGUUUGAGGAGUUUUCUAGAGACAUGAUCUCAUAAGCCAACAGGAGGUUAAAGAUGGUGCAAUUAUUUUAGAGAAGAUGGAUCUACUGGGUCAAUGCUAAAAACAGCCUACUUCAUCUAGAGAAGCAGAGGCAUGUCCAGAUGACCUUCAGACUUCCCUUCCAAUUCUUGGAAUUGAAUAUCAAACAGAUCACAAGCAAGGUAACUACAACUCUUUCUCAUUUCUUCAACAACAAACAUUCACUAAACUCCUACAGUAAACCAGGCACAUUGCCAGAAUCUGAGCAUGCAAAGCUGAAUAAAUGCAAACAUAGCCUUAACCAGAAGGCCAACCUUUCGACAUGAAACUAAAGGAAAGGACCACUAAUUUCUAAUAUUUUAAAGAAAAAAAAAGAACAAUAACUUUUUACGUGCAGUUUCUCGUUUGUUUUUCAAAUAACUCGAUAAUCAAGUAAAUGAUCUUUCCAUUCAACAUAGGAGGCAUCUGAGGCUUGGAGGACUUGAAGAAUUUGUCUAAUGUCAAAAAAAUCAUUCAACAGCAGAGCUGGAAUUUGAGAGGGCAGGUAUAAUAAGUGAGUCACUUCUCCUUAGUCUCUGCCAUUCAUCUUUGGGAUUCUGGGCCUGUGCAAAUCAUGUAAAUCACACUGGAUCAAACCAAUGUAAACCAAACAAAAGUACAUAUUAUAUGAUCAGCUCACCCUAGUCCAUCUCAUAUAUCAGAGGCCCUCUGUUCUUAGCCCCUUGCUCUCUCUGCACUGUAAGCUAGGCUCACGCAAAUGCAAAGUGUGGCUUUGCAUGCUCAAAAUACUCAGUGCAGACCUUGAAGGGUGUGUUACCCAUUUAAGUCAUUGUCUUCCUCUUUAUCAAAAGAGUCCUGAUUUCACAGUACCUUUUAGAACUGAAAUGAGGGAGUCGUGAAUAAAACUAGAAGUCUAGUGUUAGAACAGUCUUAAAGCUCCUGGGCCUCUUAGCUAGAGACAAUAACAGUCAGAGGACUUUUAGCUCCUCAUUCAGGUCCAGAGAGGACUGCAGCUAUCUGCAGUUUCCAUGACAACCAGUUUCUAUAAGUAGAUCUGCCCCAAGCACAGUAGAAGCUUGUAAUCAGUUCUUAAUAAAUGUUCACAAAUGGCUGAUUGAUGACUGGAAAUAUAUCUGUCAU
ensembl:lncRNA